UGAAGAGUUCUGAAUUCAGCACGAAAGGCAGGAUUUGAGCAGGGCGUGCACACAACUGGAUCAAGACCUGCUUUGGAAGCAAUGCGCUGACCUGUGAGAGAGAAUAUAAAUGUGUUCCUCCAAGAAGCUAGGUUCCGAAGAAGCCAAAUCCUCAAAUUUCAUCUUGCAGAUCUUUAAUUGUGCUCUAAAUAAAUGGGCCGCUGUUCUAGUGUAGACAUGAGUGAAAUGGUCUCCAUUUCUAAAUCAACAGCCUGCCACCACCUUCUGCAGUGGCUGAAUUUCCUGGGUGGUCUUUAAGAAUUGCCCCAGGAGGUAGGCAUGUCAUAGUCUAAUCCGGAUGUUACAAAGGGCACACACAUGUGAAGAGAAUAUUCUCAUGCCGAAGGACAACUGCACCUUUUCUAUCACGAACACACAGGGGCGGCUGUUUGGGCUUUGAAGAGCAUUAUCAGUGAAGUCAAGUCACACAUUUCUCAAUGCCAGUGGGCCAACAGGGGAAGAAUGAAAGCCAGAGCCUGUAAAAGGAAUCGCUGGACGGCUCGAGGAGUGUAUAAAAUAUGCUCUAGAAUUUUCAGCCUCCUGCAGUGCAAGUGAUUAGCUAAAGAAACACUUUGAACCUGUUAGUUGUACAUCUUUUAAACCAUUUUAAAUUAUGGAAAAGACAGUGCUCAAGAAAUUAAUUAAAGUUUUGGA